ensembl:lncRNA
UGGACUGUCAUUUCUCUUUACUUAUUUGAGCUGUUCUUGCCAUAAUAUGGACUUGGUCUGUUACUAAAUAGGGCUAUCUUCUGUAUACCACAGAAGGGGGUGGCAGCGUAGCCUAGUGGUUAGAGUGUAGGGGAGGCAGGUAGUCUAGUGGUUAGAGUGUAGGGGUGGCAGGUAGUCUAGUGGUUAGAGUGUAGGGGUGGCAGGUAGUCUAGUGGUUAGAGUGUAGGGGUGGCAGGUAGUCUAGUGGUUAGAGUGUAGGGGUGGCAGGUAGCCUAGUGGUUAGAGUGGUGGGGCGGCAGGUAGCCUAGUGGUUAGAGCGUAGGGGCGGCAGGUAGCCUAGUGGUUAGAGCGUAGGGGGGCAGGUAGCCUAGUGGUUAGACUGGUGAGUCUCUGAUCCACCUCUACGCAGACGACACCAUUCUGUAUACUUAUGGCCCUUCUUUGGACACUGUGUUAACAACCCUCCAGGCAAGUUUCAAUGCCAU